AGAGAGCGUCUCCGACACGGCAACAACUGCAGCGCACUACAGGUCACCAAAUGCCUUCUUCAUCGUAUUACAUCAGUUCGCAAUCAUGGUCAACUAUGGCGUUGUGGUGCUGUCGGGUGUUGUAUCGUUGAUGGCUGCGUCGACCACAGGUGUACUGAUGUCUUCUGGGUAUGGUGGAUACCAAGCAACAGCACCGAAAGAAGACUACACCACGUGACCGCCUCACUACAAAAAAAAGGUUAACGUACGCAACACCUACUUACUACACCGAGGCCCCCAACUAGUACACCACCGAGGCUUCAGAGUAUUACACGAAAACUUAUGCUGCCCCGAGCUACUACAUCGAAGCCACCAAGUAUUACUCUGCCCAGAGAAAUAUCACCAAAGCGCUUGAGUACUAUACCGAGGCUCAAGUUCAUUACACCACUAAAGCUGUCGAAUACUACACCGAAGCGCCCAAGUACUACAAUGCAACAUACACUGCCCCAGCUUAGUACACCGAGGCAGCGGAGUACUACUACACCACCACCACCGAGGCAGCGGAGUACUACUACACCACCACCACCGAGGCAGCGGAGUACUACUACACCACCACC